rnacentral:rRNA from 1 species
CGCAUACGAUCUAUGAAUAAAAGCGGGGGAUCGCAAGACCUCGCGCGAUUGAAGCGGCCGAUAUCAGAUUAGGUAGUUGGUGGGGUAAAGGCUCACCAAGCCGACGAUCUGUAGCUGGUCUGAGAGGACGACCAGCCACACUGGGACUGAGACACGGCCCAGACUCCUACGGGAGGCAGCAGUGGGGAAUUUUGGACAAUGGGCGCAAGCCUGAUCCAGCCAUGCCGCGUGCAGGAUGAAGGCCUUCGGGUUGUAAACUGCUUUUGUACGGAACGAAAAGGUUUGGCUUAAUACGUUGAACUCAUGACGGUACCGUAAGAAUAA